rnacentral:misc_RNA from 1 species
GAUGAAGAACGUAGCGAAAUGCGAUACUUGGUGUGAAUUGCAGAAUCCCGCGAAUCAUCGAGUUUUUGAACGCAAGUUGCGCCCGAAGCCAUUCGGCCGAGGGCACGUCUGCCUGGGUGUCACGCAUCGUUGCCCCCCCAAACUCCGGUUCGGGCGGGGCGGAAGUUGGCCUCCCGUGUGUGUCUGCGCGCGCGGUUAGCCCAAAAGCGAGUCCUCGGCGAUGAGCGCCACGACAAUCGGUGGUUUUUUUACCCUCGUUCCUCGUCGUGCGUGCCCCGUCGCCCGAACGCGCUCUUGCAACCCUUACGCGUCGCCUCGGUGGCGCUCCCAACGCGACCCCAGGUCAGGCGGGACUACCCGCUGAGUUUAAGCAUAUCAAUAAGCGGAGGA